UAGGGAAUAUUGGUUAAUGUGCGAAAGCGCGAACCAGCAACGCCGCGUGUGCGAUGAAGGCCUUCGGGUCGUAAAGCACUUUUUGCAGGGAAGAGGAAGGACGGUACCUGCAGAAUAAGUCUCGGCUAACUACGUGCCAGCAGCCGCGGUAAAACGUAGGAGACGAGCGUUAUCCGGAUUUACUGGGCGUAAAGCGCGUGCAGGCGGCAUGGCAAGUUGGAUGUGAAAGCUCCCGGCUUAACUGGGAGAGGUCGUUCAAUACUGCCAGGCUUGAGAGUGGGAGAGGGAAGCGGAAUUCAGGGGGUAGUGGUGAAAUGCGUAGAUAGCCGGAGGAAAACCAGUGGCGAAAGCGGCUUCCUGGCCCAUUUCUGACGCUCAGACGCGAAAGCUAGGGUAGCAAA
rnacentral:rRNA from 1 species